AUUGAACGCUGGCGGCAGGCCUAACACAUGCAAGUCGAGCGGGGUUUUCGGACCUAGCGGCGGACGGGUGAGUAAUGCGUAGGAAGCUACCCGAUAGAGGGGGAUACCAGUUGGAAACGACUGUUAAUACCGCAUAAUGUCUACGGACCAAAGUGUGGGACCUUCGGGCCACAUGCUAUCGGAUGCGCCUACGUGGGAUUAGCUAGUUGGUGAGGUAAUGGCUCACCAAGGCGACGAUCCCUAGCUGGUUUGAGAGGAUGAUCAGCCACACUGGAACUGAGACACGGUCCAGACUCCUACGGGAGGCAGCAGUGGGGAAUAUUGGACAAUGGGCGCAAGCCUGAUCCAGCCAUGCCGCGUGUGUGAAGAAGGCCUUCGGGUUGUAAAGCACUUUCAGUAGGGAGGAAGCGUUGAGUGUUAAUAGUACUCAGCGUUGACGUUACCUACAGAAGAAGCACCGGCUAACUCUGUGCCAGCAGCCGCGGUAAAAC
rnacentral:rRNA from 1 species